rnacentral:lncRNA from 1 species
GUUCAUUAGGACAGUGUCAGCUAUAACUUCUUUGGUUUCCAAGACACUGUACAUAAUCUGAUACCUAAGUCUCAUAUUGCCCAGGAAUGUACUGUACGUUUCCUGUAAGAGGGCAAAAGAACUCAAUUUACAAGUAGUGCUUUAAGGAAGAAACCAGGCUCUACCUCCAGUGGGGGGAGUAGUGGGGCGGACUACUCCUCUUAGUGCUAAUACUCGACUAUGCUGGUAAAAAGGAUCUGUCAAGAAUCUCAUAAAGUACAGUUAAUGUAAGGUGGAGAAGGACAUAGGAGAACGAUUCUGAUCACUCUUGGGAGCUUCAGAAUUUCUUUUCAAAAAUCAAUCUCUCAGUUUAAAGGUCUUGGUUUCCUAAAGGGGAACAUUUCUACCAGGGAACACAGCAAGAAUCUUCAUUGGACUUUAAGCUACACCACCACCCAGGCACUUUGGGUCUGUGGGGACUGGAAUCGGCCACCCCCAGAUCCUGGCGGGGGUAAUUGACUCCUAUCAAGAGGCGGUGGAACUGCUGUUUUACAACUUUCAGUACUGUCUUGUGCAAUUUUGAUGGCAAAUGGAUAAGCACAGCAGGUGCAGCCUGAGAGGAGCAUGGUAAACAGUAACUGGAACUCAUCAGUUUUGAGUGUCUGAGUCACUCCACUUGGUAAAACACUUAAACCUUCAGAGGUGCUAAUCAACAGUGAGGAAAAUCUGGAAUGGACAAGAGACAAGGGAGAGGAUGAAUAUAAGUUGCAGUCUCAAGACCAGCUGUAGGAGCAGAGAGGUUGUAGUUCAUCUUACUAAUCUUCCUUUUAUAAGUUUCCCCCAGGAAAGAGGUCCACCAAUGUACUGAAGGAGCUACUCUCAGAACUCAUAUGAAGAAAGUGGAUCUGAAUGGCACAAGGUCUGGACCAUCCCGGAAGCUAUGCUGCCCUUUCCAGACCACACCUGUCAGCCCUCUUAGAAAUUGCUUCAGCUGAAGAGAGCUGCUUUGCUCAGUCAGGUCCCCUCUGGGCAGCCAGUGUCCACUGACUAAUUGACACCCAAUCCUAUUUUCUUUUGUUCCACAGUUGUUGAUUGCAGGACUCUCUAAUAAACUUCCUAUGUGCUAAUUUCCAUCUCAGAGUCCACGUCUCAGGAAAUUUUAUCUGUGACAGUCCCUCUAGAGUAGAUUACAGUUUGGAGGAGAAGAAAACAAACAAG